CCCAGACUCCUACGGGAGGCAGCAGUGGGGAAUAUUGCGCAAUGGGCGAAAGCCUGACGCAGCGACGCCGCGUGAGGGAUGAAGGUCUUCGGAUCGUAAACCUCUGUCAGCAGGGAAGAACGGUCACUGUGCUAAUCAGCAGUGAAUUGACGGUACCUGCAAAGGAAGCACCGGCUAACUCCGUGCCAGCAGCCGCGGUAAUACGGAGGGUGCGAGCGUUAAUCGGAAUUACUGGGCGUAAAGCGCUCGUAGGCGGUAUGUCAAGUCAGCGUUAAAAUCGGGGGGCUCAACCUCGCUCCGCCGUUGAAACUGGCGUUCUUGAGUGGGCGAGAAGUAUGCGGAAUGCGUGGUGUAGCGGUGAAAUGCAUAGAUAUCACGCAGAACUCCGAUUGCGAAGGCAGCAUACCGGCGCCCAACUGACGCUGAAGCACGAAAGCGUGGGUAUCGAACAGGAUUAGAUACCCUGGUAU
rnacentral:rRNA from 1 species